rnacentral:rRNA from 1 species
GAUGAACGCUGGCGGCGUGCCUAAUACAUGCAAGUCGAGCGAACGGACGAGAAGCUUGCUUCUCUGAUGUUAGCGGCGGACGGGUGAGUAACACGUGGAUAACCUACCUAUAAGACUGGGAUAACUUCGGGAAACCGGAGCUAAUACCGGAUAAUAUUUUGAACCGCAUGGUUCAAAAGUGAAAGACGGUCUUGCUGUCACUUAUAGAUAGAUCCGCGCUGCAUUAGCUAUUUGGUAAGGUAACGGCUUACCAAGGCAACGAUGCAUAGCCGACCUGAGAGGGUGAUCGGCAACACUGGAACGGAGACACGGUCCAGACUCCUACGGGAGGCAGCAGUAGGGAAUCUUCCGCAAUGGGCGAAAGCCUGACGGAGCAACGCCGCGUGAGUGAUGAAGGUCUUCGGAUCGUAAAACUCUGUUAUUAGGGAAGAACAUAUGUGUAAGUAACUGUGCACAUCUUGACGGUACCUAAUCAGAAAGCCACGGCUAACUACGUG